rnacentral:rRNA from 1 species
AUGGCCGCGCCGUUCCUCUCGAUCCGGACGGGCAUCGGCACGCCGAGCCGUCCGGAAGAAGAACCACCGGAGUUAGCCCAAGGGCUCGCCGGAAAAGGAGAAGGGGGGGCACCGCAGCCAAACCGCUCGACGGCGGCGCGCUCACCGCGAGGUGGACGCGCAGCCGGCGAGGGGGAAGGCCACGGCGCCGCCGUCGGAACCUCCGCCACAGUCGUCGUCCAGAUCGAAAAAGAGGAGGCGGUGGUGGUGGAGACACAGAGGAGAGGACAGGAGGAAAAGGGGGGAGGAGAGGGUGGCGCGCGCAGCGCGGUGGCUUCAGGUCGCCGUCGCCGGCGGCCAGACUUAGCUCGCCGGUGGCCUCGGGCCCCGGCCGCGGAGACAGACCGGAGGACGGCCCAGCCCUCUCUGCAACAGGAAAGAGAAGGGGAACAGGAGGAAAGAGAAGCGGCCAGGCUCACGCGGUGGUGGACGCCGUUGCCGGCGACUGGCGCGACCGGACCGGCCGGCAGAACCGCCGCUGUGGAGACGAACAGCGAGAGGGAGUGA